rnacentral:rRNA from 1 species
UACGGGGGGGGGCAAGCGUUGUUCGGAAUUACUGGGCGUAAAGGGCGCGUAGGCGGCUCGCUAAGUUGGAUGUGAAAACUCUGGGCUUAACCCAGAGCCUGCAUUCAAAACUGACGAGCUAGAGUUCUGGAGGGGAUAGCGGAAUUCCUGGUGUAGCAGUGAAAUGCGUAGAUAUCAGGAGGAACACCGGUGGCGAAGGCGGCUAUCUGGACAGAAACUGACGCUGAGGCGCGAAAGCUAGGGGAGCAAACAGG